UUUCUUGAGUUUCUUCUCCCUCUCUCUCUCUUCCCCGACCUCUCUCAUUCUCUCUUCCCUCUGCAACCACCGGGAAAUGCCAUUCCCGGCCGCCACUGUUCCUCCUUCCCUUUCGAAUUCCGGCUGCCAUUUCACUACACCGGCAACAUCUCUACACCGGCCAUAUUCGAGCUGCACGAACACCAUAGAUGGAAUCUGUGUUUUGGAGGACUGGAAUCUGCAGGUUUGAAAUGUGGAGAAGACGGAGAUUGCUGGGUCGAUUUCUAUUAGAAUCAAAUUGGGUAAGGGUUGUGGCAAAUUCUGUUUUUUCGUGGUGUUGAAUUUUGUUGGUUUCAGGAGCGUGGAGCUGGAAUCGGUACGGGUAAUCGGGUUGGACAUGCUGCUGAGUGGGAAUGAGAGGCUGCCUGGUGCUGUUGUGCCUGCUAGGGAGAGGCUACUUGAGAGGUUGAGAGGAAUGUCUCAUUUGGAAACCAGUUAUAUGAAUAUGAACCAAGUAAGAUGAGUGGAUUUGCUGGAUAUCUGCGGCAACUGUCCUGCAGUACACCCUUCUUUGGAGAUGUUGAAGCUUAGGGACGCAGGGAUCUACACAUGGCAACUUCACCAAGAAGAACUUGACUGGAAUUAGAUGUUUAUCUGAGGCCAAAGUCAAUAAGAUUUGUAAAGCUGCAGAGAAGAUAGUGGUUAGUGCUCAAUUUCUUCUUAAUAUCUAGAUGCAAUUGAAAUCCAUGUUCUGUUCUUGCUUGAAAAUCUGCAGAAGUAUCUUCUAGGAAGAUGUUAUUUUGUUGUAUUACUUUGAAACUCCAUUCAAAUUUAAUCUAAUGAAAUGCAGUUAAGGAAAUACCUUAUUGUUUAAUCUAAUGAAGUAUCUUUUUU